rnacentral:RNase_P_RNA from 1 species
CAAGCAAGCUGGACAGCCGCGGGGACAGGCCGAAAGGCCGUCCGUGAGGAAAGUCCGGGCUCCAUAGGGCAAGGAUAACGGGUAACGCCCGCCGAAGGCGACUUCAGGACAAGUGCAACAGAGAGAUACCGCCCGACUUGGAUCGGGUAAGGGUGGAAAGGUGAGGUAAGAGCUCACCCGCCGGCGCGGAAGUGUCCGGUGCUGUAAACUCUAUCCGGAGCAACACCGUGGAGGGGAAGAGGACCGGCCCGGUCUCCCCGGGGAGGUGGCUGGAGCGUACCGGCAACGGUACGCCUAGAUAGAUGGCUGUCGAAUACAGAACCCGGCUUACAGGCUUACUUGCGGC